UGGGGAAUAUUGCACAAUGGGCGCAAGCCUGAUGCAGCCAUGUCGCGUGUGUGAAGAAGGCCUUCGGGUUGUAAAGCACUUUCAGCGGGGAGGAAGGCGAUAAGGUUAAUAACCUCAUCGAUUGACGUUACCCGCAGAAGAAGCACCGGCUAACUCCGUGCCAGCAGCCGCGGUAAUACGGAGGGUGCAAGCGUUAAUCGGAAUUACUGGGCGUAAAGCGCACGCAGGCGGUCUGUCAAGUCGGAUGUGAAAUCCCCGGGCUCAACCUGGGAACUGCAUUCGAAACUGGCAGGCUAGAGUCUUGUAGAGGGGGGUAGAAUUCCAGGUGUAGCGGUGAAAUGCGUAGAGAUCUGGAGGAAUACCGGUGGCGAAGGCGGCCCCCUGGACAAAGACUGACGCUCAGGUGCGAAAGCGUGGGGAGCAAACAGG
rnacentral:rRNA from 1 species